rnacentral:rRNA from 1 species
AACGAACGCUGGCGGCAUGCCUAACACAUGCAAGUCGAACGAGACCUUCGGGUCUAGUGGCGCACGGGCGCGUAACGCGUGGGAAUCUGCCCUUAGGUUCGGAAUAACAGUUAGAAAUGACUGCUAAUACCGGAUAAUGACGUAAGUCCAAAGAUUUAUCGCCUAGGGAUGAGCCCGCGUAGGAUUAGCUAGUUGGUGGGGUAAAAGCCUACCAAGGCGACGAUCCUUAGCUGGUCNGAGAGGAUGAUCAGCCACACUGGGACUGAGACACGGCCCAGACUCCUACGGGAGGGCAGCAGUGGGGAAGUAUUGGACAAUGGGCGAAAGCCUGAUCCAGCAAUGCCGCGUGAGUGAUGAAGGCCUUAGGGUUGUAAAGCUCUUUUACCCGGAAGAUAAUGACUGUACCGGGAGAAUAAGCCCCGGCUAACUUCGUGCCAGCAGCCGCU